UACGGAGGGAGCUAGCGUUGUUCGGAAUCACUGGGCGUAAAGGGUGCGUAGGCGGGUCUUUAAGUCAGGGGUGAAAUCCUGGAGCUCAACUCCAGAACUGCCUUUUGAUACUGAAGAUCUUGAGUUCGGGGAGAGGUGAGUGGAACUGCGAGUGUAGAGGUGAAAUUCGUAGAUAUUCGCAAGAACACCAGUGGCGAAGGCGGCUCACUGGCCCGAUACUGACGCUGAGGCACGAAAGCGUGGGGAGCAAACAGG
rnacentral:rRNA from 1 species